CUGCAGUCACAUUCCUGGUCCCUAUCCUGCCCAUCCAUUUGUAACACCCAAGCCCUGGCUUUCAAGCCCAGAGCCUUACAGUGCUUUCUGAGGUCUCUGAUCACAAGUAUCUCUCACCACGGACAUUUAUUUUGGCCUCACCUUCCCAUCCCAGAACACUUACCCAGCUUUCUUCCUGCUGCUUGCCCAGUUGUGUGGCAAAAGAUCCAGGAACCAAGCCUCAGCACCCAGGAGGUUGGGCCAAUGCCUCACCCCCGCCCUAGGACCCAGAUAAGCAGCCUGGCAGAGGUGGGAGGGGCAGGGUGCGGGCGGCCUCUGACUUAAAGUGGCAGGUGGGGCAGGUUGGGGCUGGCGGUGAGGUGUGUACCUGUGUGUGGGGAUGGGGGUGGGGAGGCUGGGCCCAGCACUUGAUUAUGUCAGGCUCAUCAGCCCUCCUGGGAUGAGGAUCCCGGGUCACCAAUGCACAACAGUGACAAGAAGGUGUAACAAAGAAAGAACAGGAGUCCUGACUCCCACCAGUACACCAUCCCAUACCCUCACCCCUCCCUGACCUGUCUCUUCCCAGAUUCUUCAGACAAACGUCCUCCUCAAACCAAUUCCAGGGUACCUGUGUCUCAAAAUAACCUGGGCUUCUGCUCUUGAGGGAAAGGGGGAAAACCAUGCUCUGAGCAUGCACACAGCAGCCAAUGCCCCUGGAGCUCCCU
rnacentral:lncRNA from 1 species